AAAUUCCAUAGGAUUCAAGCUUCCUAUUAUUCUCAAGACUCUAAGAGGAGCAUGGCCUAAUCUCAUAUGCCACAAGCAAGUGACACAAUCAACAGAAUUUGAACAACUAUUGUUGACAUUAUUUGAAAUAGUAGAAGUAAGAUAGUUUGAUGAAACUAUAGAGUCUUCCUUGAUCCUGUCAAUACUUUUCUUCAACAGAUAAAGUCCGUGUUCUUCUCUAUUAAUCCUCAGAACUUGUCCACUGAAGAGUUCCUGAAAUGUACAAAAGUCAGGAAAGAACAAUUCAACACAUCUUAGUUACUUUGUCAGUUGUUAAACUGAGAGUUGAUUAUACUUGAAUUCUGGAAUAAAUAGAACAUUGUGCACUGUUUUAUCUUUGAACACUAUAGAGUUACAAAUGUGAAUGAUUGAAACUUGACCUCCUGUAGGCAAAUUA
rnacentral:lncRNA from 1 species